CAUAGAUUCCUCUGGCACUGACUUCAGGCUGACUUCAUCUUCAGGGAUCAACCUUUGUGCUUCUGGCAUCCCUCUUCUAAAAUGACUGAACUUGCCAAAACAAAUGGCUUUUGUCACUACCUCUCUAUAAAUGGUUCAACUGUUUUUGCAGGAACAAGUCUUAGAAAAGGCCUCCAGAGGUCUAUUUUUUGACCUUGUUAUAACCACUCAGAGCCCACUCAUAUAAUAUACAAAUAUCAUCACAAAAUUAACACGUGAUAUUUGCCUUAAAGAAGAGACUGUCAACUUUGAACUUUGCCUGACUCUAUACUCUAAGAAAUCAGGGACUGUUGGAACCAACUCCCCACCUCCAACCUUUCUGCAUUCCAGAAAGGCUCACCACCUAACCAGCUAGCUGCAAAAGGUCACAAUGACCUGGAACAGUCCUGGAUAAGACCGACCUCCACCCUUUCUCAACGACUCAGACAAGAUCUCUUUCCACGUUUCUUCAAAAUUCCUUUGUUGACUGGCCCCUAUAAGGCCUCAGUCCUUUCUUUUCACUGUAAUUUUCCUCAUUAUGAAAGCUAGCCUUAUUGUAUCAACCUGAAUAAAAUCACCUUCUUAAUUGCCUGA